UACGGAGGAUGCGAGCGUUAUCCGGAUUUAUUGGGUUUAAAGGGUGCGUAGGCGGCUUUUUAAGUCAGCGGUGAAAUUUUGCAGCUUAACUGUAACAGUGCCGUUGAUACCGGGGAGCUAGGAUUUGGUUGCUGUGGGUGGAAUGUGUGGUGUAGCGGUGAAAUGCUUAGAGAUCACACAGAAUAUCGAUUGCGAAGGCAGCUCACAAAGCCAAGAUUGACGCUGAGGCACGAAAGUGUGGGGAUCAAACAGGAUUAGAUA
rnacentral:rRNA from 1 species